AAGAUGCGACAAACUCCGUCCAGAGGGUGUCCUCUCUCUCUAUGAACUCAUCACUGGGCAAAGUUUGUCGCAUAAA
rnacentral:pre_miRNA from 1 species